rnacentral:rRNA from 1 species
CCUACGGGAGGCAGCAGUGGGGAAUAUUGCACAAUGGGGGAAACCCUGAUGCAGCAACGCCGCGUGAGUGAAGACGUAUUUCGGUAUGGAAAGCUCUAUCAGCAGGGAAAAGAAUGACGGUACCUGACUAAGAAUCCGCGGCUAACUACGUGCCAGCAGCCGCGGCAAUACGGCGGGGGCAAGCGUUAUCCGGAUUUAAUGGGUGUAAAGGGAGCGUAGACGGCUGUACAAGUCUGAAGUGAAAGCCGGUGGGUCAACCGCGGAACGGCUGUGGAAACUGUAAGGCUGGAGUAGUGGAGAGGCAGGCGGAAUUCGUAGUGUAGCGGUGAAAUGCGUAGAUAUUAGGAGGAACACCAGUGGCGAAGGCGGCCUACUGGACAGAAACUGACGUUGAGGCUCGAAAGCGUGGGGAGCGAACAGGAUUAGAUACCCCAGUAGUC